rnacentral:rRNA from 1 species
UUGGAGGGCAAGUCUGGUGCCAGCAGCCGCGGUAAUUCCAGCUCCAAUAGCGUAUAUUAAAGUUGUUGCAGUUAAAAAGCUCGUAGUUGAAUUUCGGGAUCAAUUUGCCGGUCGAGACCUCUGGUACGUACUUGUAUUAUUGAUUUCUUUCAUUCUGAUAAAUCAUUGAUGUCAUUAAUUUGAUGACUUUGAGGAAUCGGAACUUUUACUUUGAAAAAAUUAGAGUGUUUAAAGCAGGCUUAUUAGGCUUGAAUACAUUAGCAUGGAAUAAUGAAAUAGGACGAUUGAUCCUAUUUUUGUUGGUUUCUAGGAUUGACGUAAUGAUUAAUAGGGAUAGUUGGGGGCAUUAGUAUUCAAUUGUCAGAGGUGAGAUUCUUGGAUUUAUUGAAGACUAACUACUGCGAAAGCAUUUGCCAAGGAUGUUUUCAUUAAUCAAGAACGAAAGUUAGGGGAUCGAAGACGAUCAGAUACCGUCGUAGUCUUAACCAUAAACUAUGCCGACUAGGGAUCGGAUGAUGUUAAUUUUUUAAUGACUCAUUCGGCGCCUUACGGGAAACCAAAGUGUUUGGGUUC